rnacentral:rRNA from 1 species
GGUUGUAAAGCACGUUUCWGCRRGGAAGAACGCCUGUCGGCUUAAUACCCGGMAGGMAAGACAUCUACUCUACAGAAGAAGCACCGGCUAACUCCGUGCCAGCAGCCGCGGUAAUACGGASGGUGCAARCGUUAAUCGGAAUUACUGGGCGUAAAGCGCGCGUARGUKGKUUGGUUARCCCGGWUGUGAAAGCCCCGGGCUCAACCUGGUGAACUKKCAUCCGGAACUAUUAGGCUAGAGUGCAGGAGAGGAAGGUAGAAUUCCCKGUGUAGCGRUGAAAUGCGUAGAGAUCGGRAGGAAUACCAGUGGCGAAGGCGGCCUUCUGGACUGACACUGACACUGAGGUGCGAAAGCGUGGGGUAGCAAACAGGAUUAGAUACCCUGGUAGUCCACGCCGUAAACGAUGUCUACUAGYCGUUGGGWGCCU